AAGAGGGAGAGGCAGAAUGGUUCAUGGGCUGAGAAGAGGUGGAUCUGGAGAGGGUCUGCUUUGAUGUCUGUGCCUCCUGACACCAUCUAACACCAUGCCAAUGCUGAAGGUCUAGACUGCCACUGGGGCUAUGCUGGUGUCCAAGGGCCAUGCUGCUGUGGGAGCUAUGCAGCAAUCAGGAAAGAGCCCUGUACCUUGCCUGAGCAAAACAGUAGAGCUGGCCCUGAUGAUAUGAAUGAGAAGGACCUGGACCUGAGAGCAGGAGAACUGGCCCUGCACCUUACUGUUGGCUUCAUUGGGUGAGCUAGCCUAGGCAGUGCUGGAGAGCUCAUCUGUGUAGUAAUGAUGACGGCAAGCUAGCAAGCUGACCUAGCCAGCUACCACCCAGGCCCAGAACCAGGGCUAUGAAUUGUUCCACCCCAACAUCCACUUCAUCUAUGAACUGUUGGAGCAUGUGACAAGGACACACCUACAGAUCCAAAGCAGCAGGAUCUCCUUGACACAGGACGACAACAGGACAUCCAAGAGAGCCCCAGGGAGAGCCCACUAUCAGUGGUGCCGCAGAAACCAGAGCAAGACCAACCAACAGUAAAGAUGAACAGA